rnacentral:tRNA from 1 species
GGAUGACUGUGGCUCAGAUGGGGAGAACAUUUGCUUUGCAUGCAGAAGGCUACAGGUUUGAUCCCUGGCACCUCCA